rnacentral:rRNA from 1 species
UACGGGGGGGGCAAGCGUUGUUCGGAAUUACUGGGCGUAAAGGGCUCGUAGGCGGCCAACUAAGUCGGAUGUGAAAUCCCUCAGCUUAACUGGGGAACUGCGUCCGAUACUGGAUGGCUUGAGUUUGGGAGAGGGAUGCGGAAUUCCAGGUGUAGCGGUGAAAUGCGUAGAUAUCUGGAGGAACACCGGUGGCGAAGGCGGCAUCCUGGACCAACACUGACACUGAGGAGCGAAAGCCAGGGGAGCAAACGGG